UACGAAGGGGGCUAGCGUUGUUCGGAAUUACUGGGCGUAAAGCGCACGUAGGCGGGUUGUUAAGUCAGGGGUGAAAUCCCGGAGCUCAACUCCGGAACUGCCUUUGAUACUGGCAACCUAGAGACUGGAAGAGGUUAGUGGAAUUCCCAGUGUAGAGGUGAAAUUCGUAGAUAUUGGGAAGAACACCAGUGGCGAAGGCGGCUAACUGGUCCAGUACUG
rnacentral:rRNA from 1 species